CGAUAGGAGAAGCUCAGGCCGCCACCACACAAAGGGAGAGGAACCCAAGAUGAAUCUGUCCCGCCUUACUGUCCAUGACCCGACGACAGAGACAGCUACUUCGAGCCUAGAUAUAGGCCUCCUCGACGGUGUCUGAUCAUCAUAGGUUCUGUGUGCAGAUUCUGUGUAGGUUGAUUUAAGAUUAUCAAUCUCAGGUUCGACUUGCUCUUCACUGUAAGAUCUUUCAUGCUUGGUUUUUUCAUUCGCCAAUCUAAAUUUCAAUGGAUACAUGGUGUUUCAAGUUAUGGCCAAUUAGUCUUGGUUUAGGAAAAUAAAAAUUACUGAUUAUGAUUAAUGACACAUGAUAAAGUUUGUUACCACAAGUGUGUCCCUUUCUUCCUAUGUAUAGUUCAAAGUGGUAUAACGUGGCAUGCCAGCAUUCAGUUUUUUUAUAAUCCUUUAGGAGGGAAGAAUUGCCUGCAUUCAGUUUUUUAUCAUCCUUUAGGUGAGAAGAAUUGUCUGGUUUCUAGGUUCCCAAUAUGCACAACAAGAAAAUGUUUGCGGAGCUAAGUUCUGUGUUGUCAAAUGCAGAGUGACAGUUACAAAAUCAUAGUUACAUGUACAUCGACCACCCUUAAAAUUAUUCCAUAGAUU